rnacentral:rRNA from 1 species
AUUUAACGCUAGCGGGAUGCUUUACACAUGCAAGUCGAACGGAGUGGCGGACGGGUGAGUAAUAUAUCGGAACUUGCCCAGUAGCGGGGGAUAACUACUCGAAAGCGUGGCUAAUACCGCAUACUAUUUGAACGGCCGAUAUAGGAUUCGCUAGUUGGUGGGGUAAAGGCUCAACAAGGCAACGAUCCGUAGUUGGUUUGAGAGGACGACCACGCACAAUGGGACUGAGACAGGGCCCAGACUCCUACGGGAGGCAGCAGUGGGGAAUAUGGGACAAUGGGGGAAACCCUGAGCCAGCCAUCCCGCGGGUAUGAAGAAGGCCUUCGGGUUGUAAAGUACUUUUGGCGGAGAAGCGGUAUCUGCAGAAUAAGAACCGGCUAACUACGUGCCAGAAGCAGAGGUAAUAC